CCCUUAGACGUUCUGGGCCGCACGCGCGCUACACUGACGAAGGCAACGAGCUACUCUUCACCGAAAGGUGUGGGUAAUCUUUUGAAACUUCGUCGUGCUGGGGAUAGACCCUUGCAAUUUUUGAUCUUAAACGAGGAAUUCCUAGUAAGCGCAAGUCAUCAACUUGCGUUGAUUACGUCCCUGCCCUUUGUACACACCGCCCGUCGCUACUACCGAUUGAAUGGUUUAGUGAGGCCUUCGGAUCCGCGAUUUUAUUGUGGAGAAGUUGGACAAACUCAGUCAUUUAGAGGAAGUAAAAGUCGUAACA
rnacentral:rRNA from 1 species